UUUGUUGCUUUGUCAGGAUCUCCU
rnacentral:misc_RNA from 1 species